rnacentral:rRNA from 1 species
GUCUACGGCAUUACCACCCUGAACGCACCCAUCUUGACUGAUCUCAGAAGCUAGGCAGGGUAGGGUCUAGUUAGUUCUUGGAUGGGGAAGUGCACAUGUGGGCUGUUAAAA